AUCAACUACCCCGCCCUAAAAGGCGGAGCUUGCCUGCCUGCCGCGCCGCACGCGGCGCAGACAGGUGAAAACAAGCUGGGUUGACCAGCCUAAGCCCUGUUAAAGGGGCUACGUGUACAACAGGUCGUUAAGACUCACCGGCGGAUGCUUCCUCAGUCUGCCGCUCUGAAAGGUCAGGAUCAUGCUGACGAAAGGUAAAACGUCGAAGGUUUUGAUCGCCGUGCAAGCGGGAGCCGGUUGUACACAUUGGCGAGGGGAGCGACCACGCCGCGAGGCG
rnacentral:sRNA from 1 species